GACGAACGCUGGCGGCGUGCUUAACACAUGCAAGUCGAACGGAAAGGCCCUGCUUUUGUGGGGUGCUCGAGUGGCGAACGGGUGAGUAACACGUGAGUAACCUGCCCUUGACUUUGGGAUAACUUCAGUAAACUGGGGCUAAUACCGGAUAGGAGCUCCUGCUGCAUGGUGGGGGUUGGAAAGUUUCGGCGGUUGGGGAUGGACUCGCGGCUUAUCAGCUUGUUGGUGGGGUAGUGGCUUACCAAGGCUUUGACGGGUAGCCGGCCUGAGAGGGUGACCGGCCACAUUGGGACUGAGAUACGGCCCAGACUCCUCCGGGAGGCAGCAGUGGGGAAUAUUGCACAAUGGGCGGAAGCCUGAUGCAGCAACGCCGCGUGCGGGAUGACGGCCUUCGGGUUGUAAACCGCUUUCGCCUGUGACGAAGCGUGAGUGACGGUAAUGGGUAAAGAAGCACCGGCUAACUACGUG
rnacentral:rRNA from 1 species